CAGGAAGUAAGAACUUGUGCUGGACUGGUGAGUGAAGUCAAAGGUCAACCCUGAAUCCUCAUCCCUGGAGCGGGCAGGGCUGGAUGAUGUCACCUCUCACCCUUCAAAU